rnacentral:lncRNA from 1 species
GUUUUAGUUUUUUUGUUUAGUUUUUUAAUUCAUUAGCAGUUUAAUGUUGUUGUGUUCAGUCACAGAUGACAGUGAGGAGUGGACUGGUGAUGAAGAAGAGCCUCUCUCACCUGCCUCUGAAGUUGCAGAUCCACUGGCUCCAGUGGGUCACAGCAGGACACUCUCCAUGCCAGAUAUGGGAAACAAAGAUCUAAGCAUAAACCACCAGCACAGCCACAGUGACAUCAGUGCAGAUGGCUCCCAAGUCCAGUAAAUUUACCCACUUUAUUAUUACACACACACACACACACAUAAACGCAGAUAAACAGUAAUGGUUUUUGUUCUAUUAGUGCAAGACAUGAAGCACUCCAGAAGUUGGCAACAUUUUUUUAUUCACCAAAACCUGUGGAGCCAGCAGCCAGGUACGCAUGAUCCAAGCCCCACCCACCCCCACCCCACAUGUCACUGCUGCACACACACAUCCACUCAGUCAGAGAUUUAAUU